rnacentral:rRNA from 1 species
AGCGUACACGGUGGAUGCCCUGGCAGUCAGAGGCGAUGAAGGACGUGCUAAUCUGCGAUAAGCGCCGGUAAGGUGAUAUGAACCGUUAUAACCGGCGAUUUCCGAAUGGGGAAACCCAGUGUGAUUCGUCACACUAUCAUUAACUGAAUCCAUAGGUUAAUGAGGCGAACCGGGGGAACUGAAACAUCUAAGUACCCCGAGGAAAAGAAAUCAACCGAGAUUCCCCCAGUAGCGGCGAGCGAACGGGGAGGAGCCCAGAGCCUGAAUCAGCAUGUGUGUUAGUGGAAGCGUCUGGAAAGGUGCGCGAUACAGGGUGACAGCCCCGUACACAAAAGCGCAUGUGCUGUGAGCUCGAUGAGUAGGGCGGGACACGUGGUAUCCUGUCUGAAUAUGGGGGGACCAUCCUCCAAGGCUAAAUACUCCUGACUGACCGAUAGUGAACCAGUACCGUGAGGGAAAGGCGAAAAGAACCCCGGCGAGGGGAGUGAAAAAGAACCUGAAACCGUGUACGUACAAGCAGUGGGAGCACAGGUUUACCUGUGUGACUGCGUACCUUUUGUAUAAUGGGUCAGCGACUUAUAUUCUGUAGCAAGGUUAACCGUAUAGGGGAGCCGGAGGGAAACCGAGUCUUAAUUGGGCGUUAAGUUGCAGGGUAUAGACCCGAAACCCGGUGAUCUAGCCAUGGGCAGGUUGAAGGUUGGGUAACACUAACUGGAGGACCGAACCGACUAAUGUUGAAAAAUUAGCGGAUGACCUGUGGCUGGGGGUGAAAGGCCAAUCAAACCGGGAGAUAGCUGGUUCUCCCCGAAAGCUAUUUAGGUAGCGCCUCGUGAAUUCAUCUCCGGGGGUAGAGCACUGUUUCGGCUAGGGGGCCAUCCCGGCUUACCAACCCGAUGCAAACUGCGAAUACCGGAGAAUGUUAUCACGGGAGACACACGGCGGGUGCUAACGUCCGUCGUGAAGAGGGAAACAACCCAGACCGCCAGCUAAGGUCCCAAAGUCAUGGUUAAGUGGGAAACGAUGUGGGAAGGCCCAGACAGCCAGGAUGUUGGCUUAGAAGCAGCCAUCAUUUAAAGAAAGCGUAAUAGCUCACUGGUCGAGUCGGCCUGCGCGGAAGAUGUAACGGGGCUAAACCAUGCACCGAAGCUGCGGCAGCGAACGUAUCACCCAAGACAACUUUACGGAGUUGACGAUUGACGGAGCGAAGCGACGUCAAAGCGUUCAUUAAAGUCGAGUUGGCUUAGGGAUACGUUCGUUGGGUAGGGGAGCGUUCUGUAAGCCUGUGAAGGUGUGUCGUGAGGCAUGCUGGAGGUAUCAGAAGUGCGAAUGCUGACAUAAGUAACGAUAAAGCGGGUGAAAAGCCCGCUCGCCGGAAGACCAAGGGUUCCUGUCCAACGUUAAUCGGGGCAGGGUGAGUCGACCCCUAAGGCGAGGCCGAAAGGCGUAGUCGAUGGGAAACGGGUUAAUAUUCCCGUACUUGGUGUUACUGCGAAGGGGGGACGGAGAAGGCUAUGUUGGCCGGGCGACGGUUGUCCCGGUUUAAGCGUGUAGGUGUGUGUUCCAGGUAAAUCCGGUUCACUUUAACACUGAGGCGUGAUGACGAGGCACUACGGUGCUGAAGCAACAAAUGCCCUGCUUCCAGGAAAAGCCUCUAAGCAUCAGGUAACACGAAAUCGUACCCCAAACCGACACAGGUGGUCAGGUAGAGAAUACCAAGGCGCUUGAGAGAACUCGGGUGAAGGAACUAGGCAAAAUGGUGCCGUAACUUCGGGAGAAGGCACGCUGACACGUAGGUGAAGUGAUUUACUCAUGGAGCUGAAGUCAGUCGAAGAUACCAGCUGGCUGCAACUGUUUAUUAAAAACACAGCACUGUGCAAACACGAAAGUGGACGUAUACGGUGUGACGCCUGCCCGGUGCCGGAAGGUUAAUUGAUGGGGUCAGCGCAAGCGAAGCUCCUGAUCGAAGCCCCGGUAAACGGCGGCCGUAACUAUAACGGUCCUAAGGUAGCGAAAUUCCUUGUCGGGUAAGUUCCGACCUGCACGAAUGGCGUAAUGAUGGCCAGGCUGUCUCCACCCGAGACUCAGUGAAAUUGAACUCGCUGUGAAGAUGCAGUGUACCCGCGGCAAGACGGAAAGACCCCGUGAACCUUUACUAUAGCUUGACACUGAACAUUGAGCCUUGAUGUGUAGGAUAGGUGGGAGGCUUUGAAGUGUGGACGCCAGUCUGCAUGGAGCCGACCUUGAAAUACCACCCUUUAAUGUUUGAUGUUCUAACGUGGACCCGUAAUCCGGGUUGCGGACAGUGUCUGGUGGGUAGUUUGACUGGGGCGGUCUCCUCCUAAAGAGUAACGGAGGAGCACGAAGGUUGGCUAAUCCUGGUCGGACAUCAGGAGGUUAGUGCAAUGGCAUAAGCCAGCUUGACUGCGAGCGUGACGGCGCGAGCAGGUGCGAAAGCAGGUCAUAGUGAUCCGGUGGUUCUGAAUGGAAGGGCCAUCGCUCAACGGAUAAAAGGUACUCCGGGGAUAACAGGCUGAUACCGCCCAAGAGUUCAUAUCGACGGCGGUGUUUGGCACCUCGAUGUCGGCUCAUCACAUCCUGGGGCUGAAGUAGGUCCCAAGGGUAUGGCUGUUCGCCAUUUAAAGUGGUACGCGAGCUGGGUUUAGAACGUCGUGAGACAGUUCGGUCCCUAUCUGCCGUGGGCGCUGGAGAACUGAGGGGGGCUGCUCCUAGUACGAGAGGACCGGAGUGGACGCAUCACUGGUGUUCGGGUUGUCAUGCCAAUGGCACUGCCCGGUAGCUAAAUGCGGAAGAGAUAAGUGCUGAAAGCAUCUAAGCACGAAACUUGCCCCGAGAUGAGUUCU